rnacentral:sRNA from 1 species
GCAGGGUAUGGGAGUGCACUCCUGUAAUCCCAGCUACUUGGGAGGCUAAGGCAGAAGGAUCACUUGAGCCCAGGAGUUUGAAGCCAACCUAAGCAACAUAGCAAGAUCCUGU